AAAGAGUUGUUGGAUAAAGCUGCAAACGCAAAUAACGCAUUGCUCUAAGGAGAUGGACAAGAACCGUUUCUUUUUGCCUGGAAUCACAGCCAGACUUUUCCAAAUGCUCAAUCUCUUCAAUAAAACGAUCUGAUACCAUGACGAAGUUAAAUCGAGACAUACUUCCCACAAGGAAUGCAAAACUUUCCCAAUUAGCAAGA